UAGGUAAUUGUGUGCCCGCCGCCGCGGUCCUCCUUCCUUUCCUUUCUUUCUCCUUCUUUCUUUUUUUUCCCUUUCUCUUCUUCCUGCGCUUACGCGUGUUGUGAAAUGUCGAUGCUCAACAUCUGAACUGCAGCGCGAACUGGUUUCCUUGAGUACGCACAAAGUGGGCGGAAUUCGUGGUGUAGCGGUGAAAUGCUUAGAUAUCACGAAGAACUCCGAUUGCGAAGGCAGCUCACUGGAGCGCAACUGACGCUGAAGCUCGAAAGUGCGGGUAUCGAACAGG
rnacentral:rRNA from 1 species